rnacentral:lncRNA from 13 species
CUUUUUUAUCCUUACAUCUGUGUUUUUCUAACCUAUAGGUUAAGAACAAUAUCAGCAAAGUUUCGAGCUGAAUCUAAACUUUUGGUGGUAUCCAAGACUAAGGUUAGAAUUGAUCUGUGUGUCAUGGGACAAACAAAUUUACUCGAGAUCCUGGGCUUUUCAUUAUUGAUGUUGGGCUGUGCUCUCUACUCAACACACACACACACACACACACACACACACACACCAUUCAGAUUUCAAAUUUUAAUCUAAUCUGUUGUAGUCAUAACUGAUUCCGUCUUCAGGUCCUAUAUAUGAUGUUAGGGGACUGCUCUGUGCAUUUGCUCUUCUUUCUUACUCCCAGGAAUCACUGUAUACCUCAGAACUGGUUUGAAGAGCUAAGAAAAGGAGUACAGUGAAGAAGAAAACAAUGCCACCCUUGCUGGAACUCCAGGCUCAUCUUUCUCCAUUACCUUCCCAAUAUUCCACCAUCCAGCAUUACCCAGUGGUUUCCAGUUUCUGCUGCCUCUGCCUACAACCCUGUCUCCAUCACCACCAUCUGAUGAGUCUGCCUUAGCUCUCAGCUUAGAGGCUUCACUUCCUCCUGAGGUUGCUUUCUCCCAAGGUCUGUCCUACAAUCUGCUCUCGGGUGUUAUGCAUCAGUCCCUAUUUCACUCGG